GCCUAGAGCCAUGACACCCUGCAGCUCUAGGCUGGUUUCCCACUGAAACUAAGCAGGGUUGAGCCCAGGCCAGUACCUGGAUGGGAGACCUCUUGGGAAAAACUAAGGUUGCUGCU
rnacentral:rRNA from 1 species